GCCUGCGUUUCAUUAGCUAGUUGGUAGGGUAAUGGCCUACCAAGGCAACGAUGAGUAGCUGGUCUGAGAGGAUGAUCAGCCACACUGGAACUGAAACACGGUCCAGACUCCUACGGGAGGCAGCAGUGGGGAAUAUUGCGCAAUGGGCGAAAGCCUGACGCAGCAACGCCGUGUGAGGGAUGAAGGCUUUCGGGUCGUAAACCUCUGUCGGAAGGGAAGAACGGGCAUUGGUCUAAUAGGCCUUUGUUUUGACGGUACCUUUAGAGGAAGCACCGGCUAACUCCGUGCCAGCAGCCGCGGUAAUACGGAGGGUGCAAGCGUUAUUCGGAAUUACUGGGCGUAAAGCGCACGUAGGCGGCCUUGUAAGUCAGGGGUGAAAUCCCACGGCUCAACCGUGGAACUGCCUUUGAAACUGCAGGGCUUGAAUCCUGGAGAGGGUGGCGGAAUUCCUGGUGUAGGAGUGAAAUCCGUAGAUAUCAGGAGGAACACCGGUGGCGAAGGCGGCCACCUGGACAGGCAUUGACGCUGAGGUGCGAAAGUGUGGGGAGCAAACAGGAUUAGAUACCCUGGUAGUCCACGCUGUAAACGAUGAACGCUAGGUGCCGGG
rnacentral:rRNA from 1 species